GCCUGGUUGGCUCAGUGGAUAGAGCAUUGGCCUGCAGACCAAAGGGUCCCAGGUUCAAUUCCUGUCAAGGGCA
rfam:Myotis lucifugus cont2.20078, whole genome shotgun sequence.